rnacentral:rRNA from 1 species
CCGUGGAGUGAUUUGUCUGGUUUAUCCGUUAACGGGCGAGACCGCAGCCUGCUAAAUAGUUUUGCUCACCUUUGGUGGGUUGAGACUUCUUAGAGGGACAACUCUGGCUAUAACCAGGGAGGAAGUUUGCGGCAAUAACA